rnacentral:rRNA from 1 species
CUGUUCCUACGGGAGGCAGCAGUGGGGAAUAUUGCACAAUGGGGGAAACCCUGAUGCAGCGACGCCGCGUGGGUGAAGAAGUACUUCGGUACGUAAAGCCCUAUCAGCAGGGAAGAAAAUGACGGUACCUGAUUAAGAAGCCCCGGCUAACUACGUGCCAGCAGCCGCGGUAAUACGUAGGGGGCAAGCGUUAUCCGGAUUUACUGGGUGUAAAGGGAGCGUAGACGGCAUUGCAAGUC